UAAAAGAUAAUCUAAUAAAGAUGUUAAAUUUUUACUUUAAUUAUGGAAGGUCCUCUUUUAAUCCUCUAAUUAUUUAAGGUCUUGCAUUAGACGUUUCACUG
rnacentral:tRNA from 1 species